ACGAACGCUGGCGGCGUGCCUAAUACAUGCAAGUCGAACGCAUUUUCUUUCACCGUAGCUUGCUACACCGAAAGAAAAUGAGUGGCGAACGGGUGAGUAACACGUGGGUAACCUGCCCAUCAGCGGGGGAUAACACUUGGAAACAGGUGCUAAUACCGCAUAAUUCCAUUUACCGCAUGGUAGAUGGGUGAAAGGCGCUUUUGCGUCACUGAUGGAUGGACCCGCGGUGCAUUAGCUAGUUGGUGGGGUAACGGCCUACCAAGGCUGCGAUGCAUAGCCGACCUGAGAGGGUGAUCGGCCACACUGGGACUGAGACACGGCCCAGACUCCUACGGGAGGCAGCAGUAGGGAAUCUUCGGCCAUAGACGCAAGGCUGACCGAGCAACGCCGCGGGAGUGAAGAAGGUUUUCGGAUCGUAAAACUCUGUUGUUAGAGAAGAACAAGGAUGAGAGUGGAAAGUUCAUCCCUUGACGGUAUCUAACCAGAAAGCCACGGCUAACUACGUG
rnacentral:rRNA from 1 species